GCACGGAGUUAGCCGAUCCUUAUUCUUACGGUACCGUCAAGCUCCUACACGUAGGAGUGUUUCUUCCUGUAUAAAAGCAGUUUACAAUCCAUAGGACCGUCUUCCUGCACGCGGCAUGGCUGGUUCAGUCUUGCGACCAUUGACCAAUAUUCCUCA
rnacentral:rRNA from 1 species